UCGAAGACCAGGAUGAUGUCGUCGGCAA
rnacentral:sRNA from 1 species